rnacentral:rRNA from 1 species
GACGAACGCUGGCGGCGUGCUUAACACAUGCAAGUCGAGCGGUAAGGCCCUUUCGGGGGUACACGAGCGGCGAACGGGUGAGUAACACGUGGGUGACCUGCCCUCAGCUCUGGGAUAAGCCUGGGAAACUGGGUCUAAUACUGGAUAUGACUCCACGGUGCAUGUCGUGGGGUGGAAAGCCUUGUGCGGCUGAGGAUGGGCCCGCGGCCUAUCAGCUUGUUGGUGGGGUGANGGCCUACCAAGGCGACGACGGGUAGCCGGCCUGAGAGGGCGACCGGCCACACUGGGACUGAGACACGGCCCAGACUCCUACGGGAGGCAGCAGUGGGGAAGUCUUGCGCAAUGGGCGAAAGCCUGACGCAGCGACGCCGCGUGAGGGAUGACGGCCU